GGGUCAUUAGGUUGGUCGUGCCACCGGUACGUACUGGUCUCACUGAUUCCUCCUUCCUGAAGAACCGUAAUGCCAUUAAUUUGGUGUUGCGGGGAAACAGGACCGUUACUUUGAAAAAAUUAGAGUGUUUAAAGCAAGCUAACGCUUGAAUACAUUAGCAUUGAAUAAUGAAAUAGGACGAUCGAUCCUAUUUUGUUGGUUUCUAGGAUUGACGUA
rnacentral:rRNA from 1 species